AGUAACACCUGGAAACAGAUGCUAAUACCGGAUAACAACAGAUGAUGCCUAUCAACUGUUUAAAAGAUGGUUCUGCUAUCACUCUUGGAUGGACCUGCGGUGCAUUAGCUAGUUGGUAGGGUAACGGCCUACCAAGGCGAUGAUGCAUAGCCGAGUUGAGAGACUGAUCGGCCACAUUGGGACUGAGACACGGCCCAAACUCCUACGGGAGGCAGCAGAC
rnacentral:rRNA from 1 species